rnacentral:rRNA from 1 species
GAUGAACGCUGGCGGCGUGCCUAAUACAUGCAAGUCGAGCGAACAGACGAGGAGCUUGCUCCUCUGACGUUAGCGGCGGCCGGGUGGGUAACACGUGGAUAACCUACUUAUAAGACUGGGAUAACUUCGGGAACCCGGAGCUAAUACCGGAUAAUAUAUUGAACCGCAUGGUUAAUUAGUGAAAGACGGUUUUGCUGUCAUUAUUAGAUGGUUCCGCGCCGCAUUAGCUAGUUGGUAAGGUAACGGCUUACCAAGGCAACGAUGCGUAGCCGACCUGAGAGGGUGAUCGGCCACACUGGAACUGAGACACGGUCCAGACUCCUACGGGAGGCAGCAGUAGGGAAUCUUCCGCAAUGGGCGAAAGCCUGACGGAGCAACGCCGCGUGAGUGAUGAAGGUCUUCGGAUCGUAAAACUCUGUUAUUAGGGAAGAACAAAUGUGUAAGUAACUAUGCACGUCUUGACGGUACCUAAUCAGAAAGCCACGGCUAACUACGUG